AUUGAACGCUGGCGGCAUGCCUUACACAUGCAAGUCGAACGGUAACAGAUCUUCGGAUGCUGACGAGUGGCGAACGGGUGAGUAAUACAUCGGAACGUGCCUAGUAGUGGGGGAUAACUACUCGAAAGAGUGGCUAAUACCGCAUGAGAUCUACGGAUGAAAGCAGGGGAUCGAAAGACCUUGUGCUACUAGAGCGGCCGAUGGCAGAUUAGGUAGUUGGUGGGAUAAAAGCUUACCAAGCCGACGAUCUGUAGCGGGUCUGAGAGGACGAUCUGCCACACUGGGACUGAGACACGGCCCAGACUCCUACGGGAGGCAGCAGUGGGGAAUUUUGGACAAUGGGCGAAGGCCUGAUCCAGCAAUGACGCGUGCAGGAUGAAGGCCUUCGGGUUGUAAACUGCUUUUGUACGGAACGAAAAGCCCUGGGUUAAUACCCUGGGGUCAUGACGGUACCGUAAGAAUAAGCACCGGCUAACUACGUGCCAGCCGCCGCCGUAACAC
rnacentral:rRNA from 1 species